rnacentral:tRNA from 1 species
CGGGGUGUAGCUCAGCUUGGUUAGAGUACUUGACUGGGGGUCAAGGGGCCGCGCGUUCAAAUCGCGCCACUCCGACCA